rnacentral:tRNA from 1 species
GCCGGAUUAGCUCAGUUGGUAGAGCAGUUGAUUUGUAAUCAUCAGGUCAUCAGUUCGAGUCUGAUAUCCGGCUCCA